CAGACAUCGACGAAAAUAUUGCUAACCAAAAUCAUGCUACCCGUGCACGUACACCGAAACCGGGGUAUCUUAACCUCUCUAAAAGUCAAUUCCCUCGAACAUUUCUUACAAAUCCGUCAAAAGUAGAAUUUAUACCAGUAUGCAAAAUUCCUAUACUGUGGUCACAGAAACCUUGAUAGUGUUUGAACCAUACUUUAGUUAGUUUAAUACUUACCUUGACUGUUAAAACAAUCAUCCGGGUAUCUCCGUCACCGUCCAUGAUAUACCAGAAAGCUUCAGAUGGAGAAGAAUUCAACUACCUAAGAAUGCAAGCAAAAUUUCCACGUUUCCAGCGAAAGCCUUCAUCCAGAAGUUAGUAAAUAACUUCGCUCGAAGCAUCGAAGUUUUGCUUGCAUUUUUUAGUUAGUUGAAUCCCUCCAAAGACUCAAGCUUCUGUUGUUAUUGGCACAUAUGCACCGUCCAAGUUUACAUCCAUGAUAUACUAAUAUGUAUCAAACCAAACUGAACACAUGCAAAAUUAUACUUUGUUUACUCUUCAGUGCUAAAGGUCCAUGACUACGAUCUUAGGGGGAGAGACAUGCAUGUAAUAUAUUUGUUUGCGUGGAAUAACUAGCAUAUUUCUACACAAGGACCGUUUGUUCGAUCCCUUCGUGUUUAUGUUUGUUGAUUCUACUCAGUAACCAAGGUUUGAUGUCGAUAUUUCGUACGGUAAUUAAAAAUUCCAAGGGACUUGCUGCUUAUAGUCUGAUGUCAGCUCAAGAGGCCUCUUUAGCCCCUGCUACAUGCGUCGGCAGAAUGACUCCAUGAUCUAAACAUUGGUGUUGCUAACUUUUGACAACUGUAUGCUUAUUGCUUUUUUCACUUGCGCGACGAUGCGUUGCAUUUAAUAAAGAGACUCUUAUUGAC